rnacentral:tRNA from 1 species
GAGUGGGUGGCUCAGUCGGUUGAGCAUCUGACUUCGGCUCAGGUCAUGAUCUCACAGUUCGUGAGUUCGAGCCCCACGUCACACU